rnacentral:rRNA from 1 species
GAUGAACGCUAGCGGCAGGCUUAAUACAUGCAAGUCGUGGGGCAGCAUGAGUAGCAAUACUUGAUGGCGACCGGCAAACGGGUGAGGAACACGUACACAACCUUCCUUCAAGCGGGGAAUAGCCCAGAGAAAUUUGGAUUAAUACCCCAUAAUAUAUUUGAUAAGGCAUCUUAUUAAUAUUAAAGCUUCGGCACUUGAUGAUGGGUGUGCGGCUGAUUAGAUAGUUGGCGGGUAACGGCCCACCAAGUCUACGAUCAGUAGCUGAUGUGAGAGCAUGAUCAGCCACACGGGCACUGAGACACGGGCCCGACUCCUACGGGAGGCAGCAGUAAGGAUAUUGGACAAUGGACGAAAGUCUGAUCCAGCCAUGCCGCGUGAAGGAUUAAGGUCCUCUGGAUUGUAAACUUCUUUAUAUGGGACGAAAAAGGGCAUUCUUGUUCACUUGACGGUACCAUAUGAAUAAGCACCGGCUAACUCCGUGCCAGC